rnacentral:rRNA from 2 species
AUAGGUGUUCAUGAGACGUUGUCCCACCUCUUCCCAUUCCGAACAGAGAAGUGAAAUGCGUUGAUACUGAUGGUACUGCAAUUGUUGUGGGAGAGUAAGUAAAUGCCAGCC